UAGGGAUUAGCAACAUGGUUGUGCAUAUAUGCUGGUGCAUAUGAUUUCAGGUGAUGUUUGCUUGUUGCUCUUUGUGUGCUGAUAGUAAAAAAAUAUUUAAAAUACAUUUGGUAGAUCGAUCCUCCUUGACCAGUAAGUCUUUCUCUUUUUCUACAAUCAAAUUCCUUGUCGCUUAGUUUAAGAUUUCAUUCAGAGUCUCUCGAAAUCUUUUCUUUCAAACCUAAGUUACUCCUUUCAGUUUCUCGUCCAUCAAGCAAUCUCUACAAACUUUUCGAGAAUUUUUCCAGCUUCUAUUCUCACUUUUCUAUGAGCAUAAUCUAAUUUUUAGAUGCUCUGAAUUAUCUUAUCAGGAGCUCCAAAUACUUUAUUUGAGUUCCUCAUGCUUCAUAAUAUCUCUGAGAAUUUUUUUUCCGUUUUUUUUUAGAGUUUUCAGAUUAUUUUUUCAUGGCUUAAAUAGUAAUUCUAGACUUUUCUAGAAUUAUUUCUAUGCACAAAAUUAAAUAAUUCUGAAAAUAUCUAAUUCCCAUCCUAGUCCGACUCAGUCCAAAGCUUUACUAAUGGAUCAAGGCUUACUUUCACACCCAUAUUUUAAGAACAAAAUAUGAUGCAUAAAAGACUCAUAUGUGCCCGAGGAAUAGUCGCACACAUAAGUAGACAAAUCUCAAAUGUACCAUUGCAAUGUUUAUUACAUAGCGGAACAUAAUAAAUCACAUAGUCUUACACAAAAAUAAUAAUAAUAUUAAACAAUGCUCUCAACGGAAGCUCCACACAGGGACACUGUUGACUGGUUGACUCCAAGCCUAAUACUCAUAACGAUAGUCCUCAUUCCAAUCAUCAUCACUUGCAUAACCUGGGGUGUUGGGAAAUUGCAAGAGUGAGCACAUAUCGUACUCAACAAGUAUAACCAGGGGUUCAUGAGGCUCAAAUAGCUGACACUAUUUUGACUGCAUUUAGCUUUUAAUAGUGGAUAGCAUGUUUAAUCAUUGGAUAGCAAAUAUCAAGGUAGCAUAAAUAAUCUCAUAACCACAUGAUCAAUUGUAUAAAAGAAUUAAGAAUAACAC
rnacentral:lncRNA from 1 species